ensembl:snRNA U6 U6 spliceosomal RNA
GUGCUUGCUUUGAAAGCAUAUAUACUAAAAUUGGAAAGAUACGAAGAAGAUUAGCAUGGCCCCUAUGCAAGGAUGACAAACAGAUUACUGAAGCAUUUCAUGUUUGG